ensembl:lncRNA novel transcript
ACAACCGAACCCAACACCGGGGCCCAACGGCAGGGGCUUGGGCAGGAGCAAGGUCCGAGGGCUGCCAGGUCCACGCUGCUUUUAUGAGCUGUAACACUCACCGCGAAGAUCUGCAGCUUCACUCCUGAGCCCAGCGAGACCACGAGCCCACCGGGAGGAACAAACAACUCCAGACGCGCUGCCUUAAGAGCUGUAACACUUGCCGUGAAGGUCUGCAGCUUCACUCCUGAGCCAGCGAGACCACGAACCCACCAGAAGGAAGAAACUCCGAACACAUCUCAACAUCAGAACGGACAGACUCCAGACGCACCACCUUAAGAGCUGUAACACUCACCGCGAGGUUCCGCGGCUUCAUUCUUGAACAAUGAAUCCUCCAAUGUACCUGACUCUCCCUUUGCGAAGAGCAUCUCCGUGGCAGAAAUCUGAAAAUGCCCCUGGGGAGACACAUGCACAAGACAGUUCGUGAGCCACACAUCUCCCCACACCAAGCUCCUCCAUACAAGACCUCGGACUGCAUCACGUAAAUGCUUUUUCAGGGGCAAAAUCUAGAGAAUCUGAAACGAGCUAUCAGCUUCCCAGUUUGCACAAUUCAUCAAGAAAUUAUGCGGGGUCACUGGCACAAAUGAUGAGGCAUCUCCUGGAAGCUUAACUUCUUAUCCAUCCCAUCUCUUGGACAGAUGAUGCCAGUUAAUUACUUUGAAUCCAAAAGAGACCUGCCAGCUACAGUCAGCAUCGGUCAACCAUCUGUGAAACUGUGAGCUGACAACUUGUCCCCUCCCGGCGAAGGCCACAACAUCCCAACACCAUUAGUCACCAAGGAAGUCUGGGAGAAGUUUCUACCAACUGUAGCGAAAAAGGUGCAAGGGAGGAAACAUUUUGUUACUGCUGGCCCACUCUUCCCUCCGAAACAGCGCGGCAGCAUCUGGCAGAAAGAAAGUACAAGGGACUUCUAAGUGGGCAAUGCUGCCCCGUGCCCUCCAGACUUCUCAUCCCAGCAGGGCAGCAGCACAUGGCGCCCUGGGACAGGAGGCCUGCCGGGGCGUGGGGGCGGAGGCUGAGCUCCUGGGGGCACCACUUUAUGAGGAACCAUUUAUGGCCAAAACUCUACAGGGGCUUCAGGGACCUGAAUGAAUGCGUCUCUGUAGAGUGAGAGUCCUGGGCAGGAGGAGAAGUUUCCAUAGCUCAGGACCACAUGCUGGAAAUUUGGUCUCUGCAGCUUAAAAUCUGAGAGAAGAUGGUGUCUGCAGCAUUCAAAGGGGGACCAGAGGGACCCUCCACCCCCAGCUCCCCAGCUAUGACAAACAUGAGCUCUGGGUAGAUUCCUAUCCAUUCAAAGAACUGGAAAAGCCAAGCUGGGGCCCAUGAGUCAAGUCUGGAUGUGCGGCUCAGGGCAAGAGGACAGAUGGAUGCCACAGGCCGUCUGUCUAAAUAUUUGCAAGUUAUAAAUUAAACUAACAGGGUGUUAAAUAAAGUAUAUUCUAGCCUCA